CGCGGGAAUUCGAUUAGAGUUUAUCCUGGCUCAGGACGAACGCGGCGGCGUGCAUAACACAUGCAAGUCAAGGGGACCCGCAAGGGUAACCGGCGAACGGGUGCGUAACACGUGAGCAACCUACCUCCGUGUGGGGCAUAGCCGGCCUAACGGCCGGGUAAUUCCGCAUACGACCUUCUGGGGGCAUCCCUGGGAGAGGAAACGAGUAAUCGGCACGGAGAGGGGCUCGCGGCCUAUCAGCUAGUUGGUGUGGGUAACGGCCCACCAAGGCGACGACGGGUAGCCGGCCUGAGAGGGCGACCGGCCACACUGGGGCUGAGACACGGCCCAGACUCCUACGGGAGGCAGCAGUAGGGAAUCUUGCGCAAUGGGCGAAAGCCUGACGCAGCGACGCCGCGUGCGGGAUGAAGGCCUUCGGGUCGUAAACCGCUUUCAGCAGGGACGAAAUUGACGGUACCUGCAGAAGAAGCACCGGCUAACUACGUGCCAGCAGCCGCGGUAAUACGAAUCACUAGUGAAUUCGCGGCCGCCUGCAGGUCGACCAUAUGGGAGAGCCCCCAAC
rnacentral:rRNA from 1 species